GAAGGCCUUCGGGUCGUAAAGCACUUUUCUGAGAGAUGAGAAAGGACAGUAUCUCAGGAAUAAGUCUCGGCUAACUACGUGCCAGCAGCCGCGGUAAAACGUAGGAGGCGAGCGUUAUCCGGAUUCACUGGGCGUAAAGCGCGUGCAGGUGGUUCGGUAAGUUGGGCGUGAAAUCUCCCGGCUCAACUGGGAGAGGUCGUUCAAUACUACCGAACUUGAGAGCAGAAGAGGAAGAUGGAAUUCCCGGUGUAGUGGUGAAAUGCGUAGAUAUCGGGAGGAACACCAGUGGCGAAGGCGAUCUUCUGGUCUGUUUCUGACACUCAGACGCGACAGCUAGGGUAGUAAACGGGAUUAGAGACCCCGGUAAUCCUAGCCGUAAACGAUGUGAACUUGGCGUUGGUGGGUUAAACUCCAUCAGUGCCGAAGCAAACGCGAUAAGUUCACCGCCUGGGGACUACGGCCGCAAGGUUAAAACUCA
rnacentral:rRNA from 1 species